rnacentral:lncRNA from 12 species
CCACUCUGUUAUUAGAGUAAAAUGAUGCAUAAAAUCAUCUCUUUCCUGAAUUCAGUGGGCUCUUGACCUGUCAGGCUACAAAGAGAAAAGCUUGGUUGCUGUCAUUUCAGGACAAUCAGCCAAACUGUUUUACAAAAAGAAGGAAGCUGUGGGUAGAUGAAAGUUCUGCCUAUAAAGUGGAUGUUACUACAGUGCAUUGUGGUUGUGUUAUGUGUGCCCAAAGGAUAAAGAAUUCAGGUGUGAAGUGGUGUGGCAAGAGUUGCAAAUUAAAUAAGCCGUGCUUCGGGGGUUUCUUCCUUUAGUGUGCUGCGGUAACAUGCCCGUGGCUCCGGGGAACUGUAUGAUUAAGUCCAAACAAAGCACUCAUGCCUCAUGUUAAAUGUAGCAGAGGAGAGGUUAUUAAAUAUUUCUCGGCAAUUAAUUACCUGAGAUACGCCCUUUUUUCACAGCUUUGGUUUCAGGUAUGUGGGAAAGUUGAAAAUCUUUAAUUGCACCUAAUUUGUUCUGCAGUUUUAAUCAUUGUGCUGAAGUCUGUAACCUUUGUGAAGAAUUUGUAAGGGGGCUUCAUUUUGACACCCCCAGAGGAAGGGAUUUUUUUUUUAUUUUUGUGCAAUAAUCAUACCUCAUCUUUGAUCUGCUUUAUUUGAAAUUAAGGAAAUUUUGAAAACCCGCCAAAUGUGUAAUGAGUUAAGUACAAUUGGGAAAGAAAAUUCUUCCUACUGUUCCUGCUGUCUUUCCUUAAUUAGACACAGCCAUUUUCCUCGUGUCCACCAACCUGGCCCAGCUCUCACAGAAAUUCCUACCCAGAAAGAAGCAAAAAGAGAGAUUAAGGUCUCUCAUUAGAAUUCCUGUCAGACACCCAAAACCAUAACAUACCAACGAAUAAACCUAACCAAAGAGGCA